UAGUACGUAAGUAUGAUUGACCUUUUGGAAUCGUUGGAUUAUAUGGUUAGAAAUGUACCUUAUAGGAAAUAUAAACCUAAUUUACCACUUCAUACCAAUUGUAGGCAAUGGUGGAAGUAUGCCAUUGAUUCAGUUCUUGAAGUUCAUAUAAGAAGAUGUACACAGAUGUGGUCAUGGUGUAACAUAAAGAAGCAUAGAGAGUUACUCAAGAGUUAUAAAAUCGCUUACAAGAAUAAGCUAACUCAGACUAAACUCUCGGAAGAAAUCCAGAAACAAAUUCAGGACCUGGAGAAGACUUUAGAUGUUUUUAACAUAAUUUUAGCAAGGCAACAAGCACAAGUCGAGUAUGUUGCCUAUAUAAUGACCUUGAAGUUGGUAAGCACUUCUAUUGUAAUCAGAGAAAACAAAAAUAUUCCUGAAAUCCUAAAAAUCCAGAUCAUUGGCCUGGGCACCCAAGUAUGCCAGCGACCAGGAGCGCAAGCCCUUAAGGUAGAAGCAAAGUUAGAAGACUGGUAUAUCACAGGUCUGAGACAGCAGGAUACUGUGCCAUCCCUUGUGGCUUCCAUUGGUGACACUGCAUCAUCCUUGCUUAAAAUUGAGUUUGAAACCAAUCCAGAGAACAGCCUUGCUGACCAGACGCUGACCGUCCAGUCCCAGCCCGUGGAGGUCAUCUACGAUGCUAAAACCAUCAAUGCAGUGGUUGAUUUCUUUCAGUCAAAUAGGGGAUUGGAUCUUGAGCAAAUAACAUCAGCUACUUUGAUGAAGCUGGAAGAAAUUAAAGAGAGAACAGCUACUGGACUUACACAUAUAAUUGAGACUCGAAAAGUUCUUGAUUUAAGGAUAAAUCUGAAGCCUUCUUAUCUAAUAGUUCCACAGACAGGCUUCCACCAUGAAAAGUCAAAUCUUCUCAUUUUAGAUUUUGGUACAUUUCAGCUCAACAGUAAAAGUCAAGGUCUACAGAAGACUACCAGUUCAUCUUUGGAAGAAAUAAUGGAUAAAGCAUAUGACAAGUUUGAUGUUGAAAUAAAGAGUGUGCAACUACUCUUUGCAAGAGCAGGGGAAAACUGGAAGAAGUGUCGUUUUCAGCACCCGUCCACUAUGCAUAUACUGCAGCCCAUGGAUAUUCAUGUGGAGCUAGCCAAGGCGAUGGUAGAGAAGGACACGAGAAUGGCCAGAUUUAAAGCAUCAGGAGGACUUCCUUUGAUGCAUGUGAGGAUUUCAGACCAGAAGAUGAAAGAUGUGCUGUGUUUGAUUAACAGUAUACCUUUGCCACAGAAAUCAUCAACUCAAUCUCCAGAGAGACAGGUAUCGUCAGUUCCUGUUGCUUCAAGUGGGACAAAAGUUCUCCUUGGUACUUCAUUAUUGCUGAGUGAAAUGGAUUCAGAGUCUGACGAUGAGUAUUUCGACGCUGAAGACGGUGCCUCCCAGGUGCCUAGAGGUGCGCCAGGCUCCGAACCCCGAAAGGCUGCGGAGGUUCCGAACGAGGCCCUCGUUAAUCUUCUGCUCAAGUUUGAAGUUAAAGAAGAUCAAGAAAAAAGCCCCUUCACUUGAUUAGCUCUUCUGACAAACCUGGGUCAGAUCUUUUAAAAGUAGAGUAUAUUAAGGUAAGGACCAUGGCAGUGCUGGAGAACCUGUGGAGAGA
ensembl:lincRNA